UAUCAGGUUUCACUACUGUGCGGCGACACCUACAAUUUCUAUAGUGAGAAAAAAAAACUCAGUAACCAAACAACUCAGAAACCGGAGCACUCCUGUCCCGGAGGAGUCACCUGCACCUCUAAGUCACACGGGAGGCUGUGAUGCAUAAGUGUCCCACCAACUGUCCUUGAUUCCCGGAAUGCCUUCUCCCAGUGCCCAGGAUCCGUGCCGGGAAGGCCCAAAGGUCAGCGGUGGAAGCCAGAAAGUCUGUGCCAGCGGGGUGAAGGAGCUGUGCUGGUGGGAUGAGGGUUCUACGCUGGAGCCGAGAAGUCACACUCACAACAAAGGCCCCACAACCAUCCUCAGUGACACGGAGACCCUGAGCUCCUCCGAUGAUAGGCACAGUCGGGUACAUGCCAGGAAGCCAGCGUGAUGAGUUCAUCCUAGAGACCAAGCGGCACACGUCUUCUGCUCCGGAACCAGAAAGCAAUGCUCGAUGUGCAGACCAGAGCUUCUCCAGGAGAACCCACAGUGCCUCAGCGCCUCCCUUCUCCUUCUCCACAUCUCCAUUUAUGGUGACAACUUUCCUCAGGUGGACCAUCUAUGCUUAGCGCCAUAGUGACUUAAUCCAGCUGGCAUUAAGUUAACCACCAGUUCUUAAUCCAUAACAGCCAACAGCCCCACCAAAAAAAAAAAAAAAAAAAAAAAAAAUCAGCACGAAAGUGAUGAACUCUGUUGGAAACUUUUAAAGAGCAAGUUGCUCAUGGCAACCUGGGCAAAGAAGCUCAGAGGACAAUGUGGGUGAAGGACCAGGAAUUCCGGAACCUGCAAGGACAGGUGUGCCUGUGUGGUGUGGUGACCACUGCCUUCUCCCACGCUCCUCUGUGAACCAGUCUCAGGUGAGACAGGAGGUGGGGUGGACCCCCUGCUCUGAAGACCGGAGGGAGAGACAGCUGUCAGUUACAGAUCCCGCGUGAGAGUCCAGGGUGAAGUCUGAGAACACAGACGAGCUCGUCCAGAGGCAGGAGAGCCCAGAGCAGGGAUGGCGAAGCUUUUCCAGAUUUCAGCGGUAGAAAAAGCCUGCAGUGGCGCUCGUGCCCUGGGUUCGCCACCACUGGCCUAGCGCGAGGCUUUCCUCUGCAGGAGGAAAAGGAGGAGGCUUUCCUCGGCAGAAGGGCUGCCGGCUGCCGGCUGCGGCCAACUGCGGCAGCCCUGUGCUCCUGCCGAGGCUGGACCUGCUUCCCACACCAGGUGCGUCCCUGUUGGAAAUAGGCCUAUGAGUCACUGGGAAAAGAGGAAUUCAAUUAAUAAAGACUCAGUCAUGCUGCA